rnacentral:lncRNA from 1 species
AGUCUAGCACAUGCCUGCUGACCUUCGUGGAGCCUGACCAGUGGGGGAAGUGUGAAGGAGACAGACAGGAUUCAGGCUUCUUGGGGCAGGUGUUUCUUCCAUGAGAGAUACGUGGGGAUGAAUUGCUGGGGAAUCCUUUCCAGUUUCCAGGAUAUCUCUUCUUAUAUAUGGGGCUGUAGUCAUCAGAAAAAAAAAACGUACAGGCCCUCUGCAGCCACCCAUGGAAACAGAAGAGAUUGCAUGCAGAGAUAGAGACACCAAGCUUUCGAAUGGACUUGGGAUGCAGCAGACCGGAAACCCAGCCACAGGAGCAGCAGGUACAGAGAUGAGAAGGACCAGGG